GACGAACGCUGGCGGCGUGCUUAACACAUGCAAGUCGAACGGUAAGGCUUUGCUCUUGUACGGUGCUCGAGUGGCGAACGGGUGAGUAUCACGUGAGUAACCUCCCCUUUACUUUGGGAUACCUUCUUUGAACUGGGGCUAUUAUCGGGCAUGAGCUCCUUCUACAUGGUUUUUGUUUUAAAGUUACGGCGGUUCGGGAUGGACUCGCGGCUUAUCAUCUUGUUGGUGGGGUAGUGGAUUACCAAGGCGUUGACGCGUUGCCGGACUGGGAGGGUGACCGGCCACAUAGGGACUGAGAUACGGCCAAGACUCAUACGGGAGGCAGCAGUGAAGAAUAUUGCGAGAAGGGCGGAAGCAGGAAGCAGGAACGCCGCGUGCGGGAUGACGGCCUGCGGGGUGUAAACCGCUUGCGCCUGGGAAGAAGAGUGAGUGACGGUAAUGGGUAAAGAAGCACCGGCUAACUACGUG
rnacentral:rRNA from 1 species